rnacentral:rRNA from 1 species
UACGUAGGGCGCAAGCGUUGUCCGGAAUUAUUGGGCGUAAAGAGCGCGUAGGCGGUCCGAUAAGUCGGCUGUGAAAGUCAGGGGCUCAACCCUUGAAAGCCGGCCGAUACUGUCGGACUAGAGUCCGGAAGAGGCAAGUGGAAUUCCCGGUGUAGCGGUGAAAUGCGCAGAUAUCGGGAGGAACAUCUGUGGCGAAGGCGGCCAUCUGGACCAGCACUGACACUGAGGCACGAAAGCGUGGGGAGCAAACAGG